rnacentral:tRNA from 1 species
AGCCUGGUUGGCCGAGUGGUUAAGGCACUGUGGGGGCUUACCAACCCGGGAGCGUGCACCCAUAAGGGAAGGCCCCGAAGGUGUUGGCGAGUCCUCCAGAGACCCCUGGUUCGAAUCCAGGAUCGGGCGUC